AUUGAACGCUGGCGGCAGGCCUAACACAUGCAAGUCGAGCGGUAGAGAGAAGCUUGCUUCUCUUGAGAGCAGCGGACGGGUGAGUAAAGCCUAGGAAUCUGCCUGGUAGUGGGGGAUAACGUUCGGAAACGGACGCUAAUACCGCAUACGUCCUACGGGAGAAAGCAGGGGACCUUCGGGCCUUGCGCUAUCAGAUGAGCCUAGGUCGGAUUAGCUAAUUGGUGAGGUAAUGGCUCACCAAGGCGACGAUCCGUAACUGGUCUGAGAGGAUGAUCAGUCACACUGGAACUGGGACACGGUCCAGACUCCUACGGGAGGCAGCAGUGGGGGAUAUUGGACAAUGGGCGAAAGCCUGAUCCAGCCAUGCCGCGUGUGUGAAGAAGGUCUUCGGAUUGUAAAGCAUUUUAAGUUGGGAGGAAGGGCAUUAACCUAAUACGUUAGUGUUUUGACGUUACCGACAGAAUAAGCACCGGCUAACUCUGUGCCAGCCGCCGCAGUAA
rnacentral:rRNA from 1 species